CCUACGGGUGGCAGCAGUCGAGAAUCAUUCACAAUGGGGGAAACCCUGAUGCUGCGACGCCGCGUGGGGGAAUGAAGGUCUUCGGUUUGUAAACCCCUGUCAUGUGGGAGCAAAUUAAAAAGAUAGUACCAUAAGAGGAAGAGACGGCUAACUCUGCGCCAGCAGCCGCGGUAAUACAGAGGUCUCAAGCGUUGUUCGGAAUCACUGGGCGUAAAGCGUGCGUAGGCUGUUUCGUAAGUCGGGUGUGAAAGGCGCGGGCUCAACCCGAGGACGGCACAUGAUACUGCGAGACUAGAGUAAUGGAGGGGGAACCGGAAUUCUCGGUGUAGCAGUGAAAUGCGUAGAUAUCGAGAGGAACACUCGUGGCGAAGGCGGGUUCCUGGACAUUAACUGACGCUGAGGCACGAAGGCCAGGGGAGCGAAAGGGAUUAGAUACCCUGGUAGUC
rnacentral:rRNA from 1 species